AAAAAAAUCAACCAAACUAAACCAAAAUAAAAUAGUCAGUUGCAUAUUAGCAUUGUUCUAAUAAACUUGAUCAAAAUUAUAGUACCAAUGGCUCGGAGGGAAAAGCCGUGUGGCUUGCAAAAAUAACAGAAGGUACAAACGCACAUGUUGCUUUCUUUUGUACUGUAAAAUAACAAGUGCUGCAGUAAAUGUUCUUGCUUUUGAA
rnacentral:lncRNA from 1 species